rnacentral:rRNA from 1 species
ACCUAGCGGCGGACGGGUGAGUAAUGCUUAGGAAUCUGCCUAUUAGUGGGGGACAACAUCUCGAAAGGGAUGCUAAUACCGCAUACGUCCUACGGGAGAAAGCAGGGGACCUUCGGGCCUUGCGCUAAUAGAUGAGCCUAAGUCGGAUUAGCUAGUUGGUGGGGUAAAGGCCUACCAAGGCGACGAUCUGUAGCGGGUCUGAGAGGAUGAUCCGCCACACUGGGACUGAGACACGGCCCAGACUCCUACGGGAGGCAGCAGUGGGGAAUAUUGGACAAUGGGGGGAACCCUGAUCCAGCCAUGCCGCGUGUGUGAAGAAGGCCUUUUGGUUGUAAAGCACUUUAAGCGAGGAGGAGGCUACCGAGAUUAAUACUCUUGGAUAGUGGACGUUACUCGCAGAAUAAGCACCGGCUAACUCUGUGCCAGCAGCCGCGGUAAUACAGAGGGUGCAAGCGUUAAUCGGAUUUACUGGGCGUAAAGCGCGCGUAGGUGGCCAAUUAAGUCAAAUGUGAAAUCCCCGAGCUUAACUUGGGAAUUGCAUUCGAUACUGGUUGGCUAGAGUAUGGGAGAGGAUGGUAGAAUUCCAGGUGUAGCGGUGAAAUGCGUAGAGAUCUGGAGGAAUACCGAUGGCGAAGGCAGCCAUCUGGCCUAAUACUGACACUGAGGUGCGAAAGCAUGGGGAGCAAACAGGAUUAGAUACCCUGGUAGUCCAUGCCGUAAACGAUGUCUACUAGCCGUUGGGGCCUUUGAGGCUUUAGUGGCGCAGCUAACGCGAUAAGUAGACCGCCUGGGGAGUACGGUCGCAAGACUAAAACUCAAAUGAAUUGACGGGGGCCCGCACAAGCGGUGGAGCAUGUGGUUU